UUCAUGUACUGCUGGCUUUUCCACUCCCGAGUGACUCCAUUCUCUUCUGCUCAUUAUUUUUAUGCUUGGGGUUUACCUUUUCAAAUAUUUCUCAUUACUGGGUUAUAAUUUUUAGGAUUUAGUUGGUCGAUAAAGCUGAGAGAGGGAUAUGCUAGAUGAAUGAAUGGCCAUUGGAAUCGAGAAGAUGUUUCAGGAACCCACACGCUUGUAGCUUCAAUCGGUUUUCCUGCCAAAUAGGUAAACGGUUGGGGGGAGCUUAAACAUGAAAACAUGAGGCUCUCAUGCGUGAGCCAUGGGAAUGGCAAUGGGAUGAAGAUUUUCUCCAAAAGGAUUCCAAUCUUGGAGAUUUUGAAGACAUUUUGAAGAAGAUAUCUUAUGUGGAGGUGGUGAAUUUGUUUCAAAUAGAUGCCUCAGAUUAUCUAUGGGAUGAAAUAAACCAAAAUGAAGAAGAUUUUUCCUACAUGUUAGAUGAAGGCUUGUGGGGAUUUUGCUUACCAUACUAUUGAAAGUGGUAAUGCAUUUUUUCCUCUUUCUUGUAACCCUUGUGGCAUUUAUACUUGGAAUUGUAAUUUCAUUGUGAGGAUUUUGCUUACCAUACUUGGAACCUUGUUUGUUUUCCUAAGGCUGCAUUUGGAAAUGAUGCAAAUAAGUGUGAAUGCAAAUAUUAGUA